rnacentral:tRNA from 1 species
GAAAUAAGUAAUUCAAAAUUAAGCUUCUAACUUAAAUUUUUAGUGGUGAAAUUCCAUUAUUAUUUCU